rnacentral:rRNA from 1 species
UGCGGUGGCGAUAUCGAGGGUGCAACUCUCCAUCCCAUACCGAACUGGACAGAGAAACCCCUUCGAGCCUAUGGUACUUCGUCUUAAGGCGCGGGAGAGUCGGUUACUGCCGCAU